AUGUCCACCAGUGGGUUGGUUUUAGUCAUAAAUGAGUUGACUGACAUUGGAUCUUCCACACCUCAGUCUUCAGUCAGCUUGGAUACAGAUACACUGUCUCUAACUUCAAAAAGCAGUGAAGA
ensembl:lncRNA